UACGUAGGGUGCAAGCGUUGUCCGGAAUUAUUGGGCGUAAAGAGCUCGUAGGCGGUUCGUCGCGUCGGCUGUGAAAACCCGAGGCUCAACCUCGGGCCUGCAGUCGAUACGGGCGGACUGGAGUUCGGCAGGGGAGACUGGAAUUCCUGGUGUAGCGGUGAAAUGCGCAGAUAUCAGGAGGAACACCGGUGGCGAAGGCGGGACUCUGGGCCGAUACUGACGCUGAGGAGCGAAAGCGUGGGGAGCAAACAGG
rnacentral:rRNA from 1 species